AAUGAUACCCGGGUAGUCCACGCCGUAAACGGUGGGAACUAGGUGUUGGCGACAUUCCACGUCGUCGGUGCCGCAGCUAACGCAUUAAGUUCCCCGCCUGGGGAGUACGGCCGCAAGGCUAAAACUCAAAGGAAUUGACGGGGGGCCCGCACAAGCAGCGGAGCAUGUGGCUUAAUUCGACGCAACGCGAAGAACCUUACCAAGGCUUGACAUACACCGGAAACGGCCAGAGAUGGUCGCCCCCUUGUGGUCGGUGUACAGGUGGUGCAUGGCUGUCGUCAGCUCGUGUCGUGAGAUGUUGGGUUAAGUCCCGCAACGAGCGCAACCCUUGUUCUGUGUUGCCAGCAUGUCCUUGGGAGUGAUGGGGACGUCACAGGAGACCGCCGGGGUCGAACUCGGAGGAAGGUGGGGACGGACGUCAAGUCAUCAUGCCCUUACUGUCUUGGGCUGCACACGUGCGUACGAUGGCCGGUACAAAGAGCAGCGAUACCGUGAGGUGGAGCGAAUCUCAAAAGCCGGUCUCAGUUCGGAUUGGGGUCGUG
rnacentral:rRNA from 1 species